GACAUGACCCACCAAUGGAAAACACAGCAGUGAGAAGCAUCAAGAGUGUGAAGGGAGGACUCUUCAGUGUUAGUCAGAAUUUGUAGCAGACUUGGAAGAAAUCUCCUUCUGCAAAUUGCUGCCAUCACCAAGACACCAACGUUCUUGGACUGUCAGUGUGAAAGCCAUCUCUUCUGAAACUGGGUAUUGUCAAGAGAAAAUGCUUCUCCAUGGCUUGGGGUUCUGGGAGAUUCCAGAAGUGGAAGUGUGGCCCAGCUGCUUCAGUUUUGACAACAGAAUGACCCCAACCAGCUUCAAUGCUGGAUUGAAUUUAACAGCUCCUCUCCCCAGGAUUGCAGUGUCACCAGAAGGUGAAACCCCAGACCUCCCAGGGAUGUCACUGCUUUAACUCCCUGAAAGGAAGAGUGUAGGUGACAGCAGCAGAUAGAAAAAGAAAAUGUGAAGAGUGUUAGUAAGACAGAAUAAAGGAACUUUCUUCUUCUACUCAGAAGAGGGAGAUGUGCUUUGGAAUCAGUCUCUUUAAGGAUAAAGAUAUCCCUCUAAUGUGAGUAAACUGAAAUCUGCUGUUUAUCUAUGACUAGCUGAUGUUUUAAUGAAAGUAGUGUUCACCUAUUAAGUUUUUAUUUUAUUUAAACUUCUUUACAUUUGGGAAGAUUUUGCCUAAACAUCCUUUUUCAGUAUAAAUGAACUUACAUUCUACAAAUGUCUGCAAAACCUAGAAAUCAAUCCAUUAAUAUUUUUAUCCCUGCAUUCUCUGCCUGUGAAAUGGGGCUACUGGAAAAUAUUCUCCAUUUGGUAGCAGGGCUGUGGGAAAAAGCACACUGUAGCUUGUAAAUGAAUACUAUGGCAUUUAAAUAAGCAUCUUGAAUUUUAACAGCUUCCUUAAGAAAAAACAAUUUUAUGCAUAUUUCACAGAUUUGGAUCUGAGAUAUUAGCAAGUUAGAGUUUGUGUAACUAUGAAAUUAUUGAUUUUUCCACUGUAGAAAGAAUGUGUUUUGCUAGCUAGGAUGACACCAUGUUCAUUUUCUGCAUUGUUGGACAUUGUACUGAUGGGCAAACUUUUAGUACCUUCUGUUUUGAGGUUAAAAUGUUUAACAUUUAUUGAGACUGAAUAGAAUUUAUAUUUAAAGGAAGACUUUGCCUCUUGUACUUCUUACCAUAAACUGAGAUAUCAAAUUCCUAGUAUGACAUUUCCAGCUACUACAGGCAGCUCAGGAUGAGGGAUCUUUUGCUCUCUGCCAUUCUCUUUUUGCUCAGACAAAUGGCAGGUGUGAAUGUGUAACUCCACAUCCUAGGACUUUCAGUUCUGUGUGUACAUGCCAUGUGAUUCCUGUGCAGUUACAGCACGUGUGCAUUGUGCUGGGGAGUGA